CAGCCGUAAACUAUGCUCGCUAGGUGUCAGGCAUGGCGCGACCGUGUCUGGUGCCGCAGGGAAGCCGUGAAGCGAGCCACCUGGGAAGUACGGCCGCAAGGCUGAACUUAAGGAAUUGGCGGGGGAGCACAACAACGGGUGGAGCCUGCGGUUUAAUUGGACUCAACGCCGGACAACUCACCGGGGACGACAGCAAUAUGUAGGCCAGGCUGAAGACCUUGCCUGAAUCGCUGAGAGGAGGUGCAUGGCGUAGACGU
rnacentral:rRNA from 1 species